rnacentral:lncRNA from 1 species
AAUUAGACCAUAAUAAUGCUAAGCAAGCUUAAUCAAAUUCAAAAAACCUCAAGAAAUUUCAAACAAACAAUAAGAAUUCUUAAAGAAAUAUUAGAAGGAUCACAAAUAUCACUCAAAUACAUCUCAAUUCAAUCUUAAUUUAAUUCUCAUUAAAAUCCUAUUGAACUUCAUUCAAACUUUAGGCCAAACCUAAUUAAAUCUUAAAUCCUAAUAAAAUCCUAAACCCUAAAUCAAACCCUAAACAAAUCUUAAAUCAAACCCCAACAAAAUCCUAAAUCAAAUUCUAAUCGAACCCUAAUCAAAUCCUAAACCAAUUUCUAAAUCCUAAAUCAAAUCCUAACCAAAUCCUAAUCCAAAUCCUAAA